rnacentral:rRNA from 1 species
ACGGCUCAGUAACACGUGGAGAACUUGCCCUAGGCUGGAGAAUAAUCUCGGGAAACUGAGGAUAAUGCUCCAUAGCCCAUCCGUCCUGGAACGGUGUGUGGGUGAAAGCUCCGGCGGCCUAGGAUAGCUCUGCGGCCUAUCAGGUUGUAGGGAGGGUAACGUCCUCUCUAGCCUACGACGGGUAUGGGUGUUGGGAGACAUCGCCCGGAGAUGGAUUCUGAGACACGAAUCCAGGCCCUACGGGGCGCAGCAGGCGCGAAAACUGCACAAUGUGGGAAACCACGAUGCGGGAAACCCAAGUGCCAGCACUCUGUGUUGGCUGUCCUCAACUGUUCGUAAGUUGGGAAGAAAGUGCUGGGUAAGACGGGUGCCAGCCGCCGCGGUAAUACCCGCAGCACAAGUGGUGGUCAUUAUUAUUGGGCCUAAAGCGUCCGUAGCUGGCUUGUUAGAUGCCUGGGUAAAUCGAUGCGCUUAACGCAUCGAACUCCGGGUAGACCGGCAAGCUCGAGACCGGGAGAGGUGUGAGCUACUCGAGGGGUAGGGGUAAAAUCCUGUAAUCCUUUGGGGAGGACCAGUGGCGAAGGCGUCACGCUAGAACGGCUCUGACAGUGAGGGACGAAGCCCUGGGGCGCAAACCGGAUUAGAUACCCGGGUAGUCCAGGGUGUAAACGCUGCGGACUUGGUGUCGGUGAUCCUACGAGGGUUGCCGGUGCCGGAGAGAAGUUGUUGAGUCCGCCGCCUGGGGAGUACGGUCGCAAGACUGAAACUUAAAGGAAUUGGCGGGGGAG